GCCCAGCCCCACUGUGAGCUCAGGGCUGUGAGCACCAUGGCCUGGACUCCUCUGCUCCUGGCGCUCCUCUCUCUCUGCACAGGGUCCCUCUCCCAGCCUGUGCUGACCCAGCCGCCCUCCCUCUCUGCAUCUCCGGGAGCCACAGUCAGACUCACCUGCACCCUGAGCAGCGGCUUCAAUGUUGGCAGCUAUGCUGUAUGGUGGUACCAGCAGAAGCCAGGGAGCCCUCCCCGGUACCUCCUGUACUACCACACAGACUCCAGUAAGCACCAGGGCUCCGGGGUCCCCAGCCGCUUCUCUGGGUCCAAAGACGCCUCGUCCAAUGCGGGGCUCCUGACCAUCUCGGGGCUGCAGCCUGAGGACGAGGCUGACUAUUACUGUAAGACCUGGCACAGUGGUGCUUCUCACAGUGACACACUCAGAUGGGGAAGUGGGACAAAAACCUCGCCCUCCUCAGAGUCUGAUUCACAAUCUGACCCAGUUAACAUAACGUCCAGGUGCAAACUCCCCGGGGAAGAACCUUCUGGUUCUAAUGGGUCACCUUCCCCGUUCGCUCCCAUGUCUCUGCGUCUCAGAAGCACAGAACCAGCACCAACACCCACUGGUCCCCACGUCCCUGAACGGCGGCCUGUCAUCCGUGGGCCACAGACCAGGGCCCGGGCGAUGGCUGUGUCUGACGUGAACUAA